UAUAGAAAGGUUUAAGAGUAUGGAAAAACCAAAUCUCUGAGAGAUGCAACCAGAAGACGGAUGAGAAACAUACUUGAGGCUGAGAUGACAGAAUGACAUGGGACAUCUCCCCCUAAAAGCGUAAGAGUGAUGUAUGCGCAGGGCAUUGUUGCUCUGUCUCCAUAUCUGGAAGACCCAUAUUCACAACAUGGAUAUAAACAUUACUACGAUCCAGAGAGCAGUUCAGGAUACAUUGCAUGGCGGUUGAAGAC